rnacentral:rRNA from 1 species
CAUGUGGUUUAAUUCGAAGCAACGCGAAGAACCUUACCAGGUCUUGACAUCCUCUGACAAUCCUAGAGAUAGGACGUCCCCUUCGGGGGCAGAGUGACAGGUGGUGCAUGGUUGUCGUCAGCUCGUGUCGUGAGAUGUUGGGUUAAGUCCCGCAACGAGCGCAACCCUUGAUCUUAGUUGCCAGCAUUCAGUUGGGCACUCUAAGGUGACUGCCGGUGACAAACCGGAGGAAGGUGGGGAUGACGUCAAAUCAUCAUGCCCCUUAUGACCUGGGCUACACACGUGCUACAAUGGACAGAACAAAGGGCAGCGAAACCGCGAGGUUAAGCCAAUCCCACAAAUCUGUUCUCAGUUCGGAUCGCAGUCUGCAACUCGACUGCGUGAAG